UAAGGGAAUGAAAGGAAAAUACAAGUUACAAACUAUUAAGUAUGUACCAUGCCUAAAGCAUACAAGUGGCACGGUAUUUCAAGCAAUACAAAGCUAUCGAAUGAAUAUGAAAUUUCCAGGAGCAUGGCUAGUUAGGAGUGAGCUUGCAUCUCAAAAUCACACGUGGACACCAAACAACAAACGAGUUAGCAUGAGAUUAAGUCAAAUGAAUGAGAAUGCAGCAAUAUGUAAGCAUGUACCAUGGUUAGAAUCGAUUCAAGAGGUAAU
rnacentral:lncRNA from 1 species